rnacentral:rRNA from 1 species
UUGAACGCUGGCGGCAGGCCUAACACAUGCAAGUCGAACGGUAACAGGAAACAGCUUGCUGUUUCGCUGACGAGUGGCGGACGGGUGAGUAAUGUCUGGGAAACUGCCUGAUGGAGGGGGAUAACUACUGGAAACGGUAGCUAAUACCGCAUAACGUCGCAAGACCAAAGAGGGGGACCUUCGGGCCUCUUGCCAUCGGAUGUGCCCAGAUGGGAUUAGCUAGUAGGUGGGGUAACGGCUCACCUAGGCGACGAUCCCUAGCUGGUCUGAGAGGAUGACCAGCCACACUGGAACUGAGACACGGUCCAGACUCCUACGGGAGGCAGCAGUGGGGAAUAUUGCACAAUGGGCGCAAGCCUGAUGCAGCCAUGCCGCGUGUAUGAAGAAGGCCUUCGGGUUGUAAAGUACUUUCAGCGGGGAGGAAGGGAGUAAAGUUAAUACCUUUGCUCAUUGACGUUACCCGCAGAAGAAGCACCGGCUAACUCCGUGCCAGCAGCCGCGGUAAUACGGAGGGUGCAAGCGUUAAUCGGAAUUACUGGGCGUAAAGCGCACGCAGGCGGUUUGUUAAGUCAGAUGUGAAAUCCCCGGGCUCAACCUGGGAACUGCAUCUGAUACUGGCAAGCUUGAGUCUCGUAGAGGGGGGUAGAAUUCCAGGUGUAGCGGUGAAAUGCGUAGAGAUCUGGAGGAAUACCGGUGGCGAAGGCGGCCCCCUGGACGAAGACUGACGCUCAGGUGCGAAAGCGUGGGGAGCAAACGGGAUUAGAUACCCUGGUAGUCCACGCCGUAAACGAUGUCGACUUGGAGGUUGUGCCCUUGAGGCGUGGCUUCCGGAGCUAACGCGUUAAGUCGACCGCCUGGGGAGUACGGCCGCAAGGUUAAAACUCAAAUGAAUUGACGGGGGCCCGCACAAGCGGUGGAGCAUGUGGUUUAAUUCGAUGCAACGCGAAGAACCUUACCUGGUCUUGACAUCCACGGAAGUUUUCAGAGAUGAGAAUGUGCCUUCGGGAACCGUGAGACAGGUGCUGCAUGGCUGUCGUCAGCUCGUGUUGUGAAAUGUUGGGUUAAGUCCCGCAACGAGCGCAACCCUUAUCCUUUGUUGCCAGCGGUCCGGCCGGGAACUCAAAGGAGACUGCCAGUGAUAAACUGGAGGAAGGUGGGGAUGACGUCAAGUCAUCAUGGCCCUUACGACCAGGGCUACACACGUGCUACAAUGGCGCAUACAAAGAGAAGCGACCUCGCGAGAGCAAGCGGACCUCAUAAAGUGCGUCGUAGUCCGGAUUGGAGUCUGCAACUCGACUCCAUGAAGUCGGAAUCGCUAGUAAUCGUGGAUCAGAAUGCCACGGUGAAUACGUUCCCGGGCCUUGUACACACCGCCCGUCACACCAUGGGAGUGGGUUGCAAAAGAAGUAGGUAGCUUAACCUUCGGGAGGGCGCUUACCACUUUGUGAUUCAUGACUGGGGUG